GACCGAGCAACGCCGCGUGAGUGAAGAAGGUUUUCGGAUCGUAAAGCUCUGUUGUAAGUCAAGAACGUGUGUGAGAGUGGAAAGUUCACACAGUGACGGUAGCUUACCAGAAAGGGACGGCUAACUACGUGCCAGCAGCCGCGGUAAUACGUAGGUCCCGAGCGUUGUCCGGAUUUAUUGGGCGUAAAGGGAGCGCAGGCGGUCAGGAAAGUCUGGAGUAAAAGGCUAUGGCUCAACCAUAGUGUGCUCUGGAAACUGUCUGACUUGAGUGCAGAAGGGGAGAGUGGAAUUCCAUGUGUAGCGGUGAAAUGCGUAGAUAUAUGGAGGAACACCAGUGGCGAAAGCGGCUCUCGUGGUCUGUCACUGACGCUGAGGCUCGAAAGCGUGGGUAGCGAACAGGAUUAGAUACCCUGGUAGUCCACACCGUAAACGAUGAGUGCUAGGUGUUAGGCCCUUGGCGGGGCUUAGUGCCGGAGCUAACGCAAUAAGCACUCCGCCUGGGGAGUACGACCGCAAGGUUGAAACUCAAAGGAAUUGACGGGGGCCCGCACA
rnacentral:rRNA from 1 species